rnacentral:lncRNA from 1 species
UCCCCUCUCAAGGAAGAAUGUUUCUGCUUCAAGUGUAUCUUUCAAGCAUUAAAAUACAACUUUUCACAUUACAUUAGUCUCCCAUUCUUUGUCGAGAUUCUCAUAUGAGCGAAUAUGGAGAUGAUAAACUGAUGAUGCCUGGUAAGAACAUGCAAGAAGGAGACUUAAUGGUGUGUCUACCGAGAAAACUUGCAUUACCGAAACCCGAAAAAUAUGGAUAUUCCGUAUAAUUACAUUUUGUACUGUUCUGUCACCAAACAAACGGGAAAAACAGGAACGUUUUUCUCCACAAAGGCCAAGUUAUACUUCAUAAUCGCAUAAACUGUUUAUGAUCACACUCUGUACAUGGUUUUACGUUGACCAGCACCAUUUCUAAGAGUCAGUCGUUCCAUAUAGAACCAACCCAAUAGUCCAGCACACUGCACUGGAAUCACCUAGAAUAAUCUAGAUUUACCAACCAACAACAUUUCAAUCCAACUCUUCAAUUAUUGCUAAUUCAUAAUCUGGUAAUGAAGACAGGCAAUCUUGCACUAGUCAACGUAGUUGGAAGGUUACAAAAAUAGUACAUAAAAGCUGGUGUACUAUGAAUAAAGCCACCGAGUUUGUAGCGAUCAAAUUAACCAAAAAAGGACCAAUGUAAGCGCUUCUACAAAUAACAUGUCAACAUUAACUGAUGCAAUUUAAAUCCUUCGACCAAAACUAAGAAUUAGAAGGCAUUAUAUAUUGUCAAUUCCCGAUUAAUUUAGACUGACAAACCAACUAAUAUUCAGAGGUGUCAGCCAAAACUUGGUGAUUAACACUACUUAAUGAAUUAAACAAGUAAAGUUGCAAUAAUUUCCCCUUGGAAGUGUCAAUGAAGGGGAAUUUGUACAAGAACAGAAGCUACAAAUAUCUCAAUCGCUUCUCAAAUCCAAGAACUUAACCAAAUCUAUAAAUAACUAGACUACUUCACAUGGUAGGGAAAAUGCAUAAAACCAGAAUGACAGAAACCACAAAUUUAGAACCCCAAAAGCUGUUACCUUUAAUUAUAAACGUGAAUAAAUUAACAUAAUGAUUAACUGAAAAUGCAAAAGCAAAUAUAGAACAUAAGAUAUCAUCUGGUUCUGGGUGUGAAAAUCAAAUAUGAAUAAAUCUGAAAAAUAAGAUUUUACCUCAGACCCACAUCUUUGAGCCACUUCUCCUUAAUACCCCUUCGUGGAUUAUUAUACCAUCUCAAGAAUCAUGGAGAAUUUGUAGUACCAAACUGAGACUAAGGCACUAAGCCAAAAAAAGAAGAAAAAACAAAAGCAGAAAAAAAUAAUAAGACAAACUAAGAAAGAGUAAUACUUAAUUAUUACUUAAAACUAUGUAAUAACUAUAAGGAAAAAACAAAGAGGUUAGUUUGGUAACACCAUUGAAGAAGCU